rnacentral:rRNA from 1 species
UAGGGAAUUUUUCACAAUGAGCGAAAGCUUGAUGGAGCAAUGCCGCGUGAACGAUGGAGGUCUUUAAGAUUGUAAAGUUCUUUUAUUUGGGAAGAAUGACUUUAGCAGGUAAUGGCUAGAGUUUGACUGUACCAUUUUGAAUAAGUGACGACUAACUAUGUGCCAGCAGUCGCGGUAAUACAUAGGUCGCAAGCGUUAUCCGGAUUUAUUGGGCGUAAAGCAAGCGCAGGCGGAUUGAAAAGUCUGGUGUUAAAGGCAGCUGCUUAACAGUUGUAUGCAUUGGAAACUAUUAAUCUAGAGUGUGGUAGGGAGUUUUGGAAUUUCAUGUGGAGCGGUGAAAUGCGUAGAUAUAUGAAGGAACACCAGUGGCGAAGGCGAAAACUUAGGCCAUUACUGACGCUUAGGCUUGAAAGUGUGGGGAGCAAAUAGGAUUAGAUACCCUAGUAGUCCACACCGUAAACGAUAGAUACUAGCUGUCGGGGCGAUCCCCUCGGUAGGGAAGUUAACACAUUAAGUAUCUCGCCUGGGUAGUACAUUCGCAAGAAUG